rnacentral:rRNA from 1 species
GACGAACGCUGGCGGCGUGCUUAACACAUGCAAGUCGAACGGAAAGGCCCUGCUUUUGCUGGGUUCUCGAUUGGCGAACGGGUGAGUAACACGCGAGUAACCUGCCCCUGACUUUGGGAUAACUUCAGGAAACUGGGGCUCAUACCCGAUAGGAGCUCCUGCUGCAUGUUGGGGGUUGGAAAGUUUCGGUUGUUGGGGAUGGACUCGCGGCUUACCAGCUGGUUGGUGGGGUAGUGGCUUACCAAGGCUUUGACGGGUAGCCGGCCUGAGAGGGGGACCGGGCACAUUGGGCCUAAGAUACGGACCAGUAGGCUACGGGAGGCAGCAGGGGAGAAUCUUGCAGAAUGGGGGGAAGCCUGAUGCGACAACGCCGCGAGCGGGAUAACGGCUUUCGAGUUGUAAACAGAUUUCGCCUGAGACAAAGAGUGAGUGACGGUAAUGAAUAAAAAAGCAACGGCUAACUACGUG